UGGGGAAUAUUGCACAAUGGGCGCAAGCCUGAUGCAGCCAUGCCGCGUGUGUGAAGAAGGCCUUCGGGUUGUAAAGCACUUUCAGCGAGGAGGAAGGGUAGUGUGUUAAUAGCACAUUGCAUUGACGUUACUCGCAGAAGAAGCACCGGCUAACUCCGUGCCAGCAGGCGCGGUAAUACGGAGGGUGCAAGCGUUAAUCGGAAUUACUGGGCGUAAAGCGCACGCAGGCGGUUUGUUAAGUCAGAUGUGAAAUCCCCGCGCUGAACGUGGGAACUGCAUUUGAAACUGGCAAGCUAGAGUCUUGUAGAGGGGGGUAGAAUUCCAGGUGUAGCGGUGAAAUGCGUAGAGAUCUGGAGGAAUACCGGUGGCGAAGGCGGCCCCCUGGACAAAGACUGACGCUCAGGUGCGAAAGCGUGGGGAGCAAACA
rnacentral:rRNA from 1 species